AAGGUACUCCCUCCGGCCGGAAUUACUUGUCGAAAUAUUACAUAUAUCUAAACGUUUUUUACACAUAGAUACAUCCGUAUUGGGGCAAAUUUGAGACAAAUAAUACCGGUCGGAGGGAGUAUAAA
rfam:Brachypodium distachyon strain Bd21 chromosome 5, whole genome shotgun sequence.